GAUGAACGCUGGCGGCGUGCCUAAUACAUGCAAGUCGAGCGAACAGAUGAGGAGCUUGCUCCUCUGACGUUAGCGGCGGACGGGUGAGUAACACGUGGAUAACCUACCUAUAAGACUGGGAUAACGUCGGGAAACCGGAGCUAAUACCGGAUAAUAUAUUGAACCGCAUGGUUCAAUAGUGAAAGACGGUUUUGCUGUCACUUAUAGAUGGAUCCGCGCCGCAUUAGCUAGUUGGUAAGGUAACGGCUUACCAAGGCAACGAUGCGUAGCCGACCUGAGAGGGUGAUCGGCCACACUGGAACUGAGACACGGUCCAGACUCCUACGGGAGGCAGCAGUAGGGAAUCUUCCGCAAUGGGCGAAAGCCUGACGGAGCAACGCCGCGUGAGUGAUGAAGGUCUUCGGAUCGUAAAACUCUGUUAUUAGGGAAGAACAAAUGUGUAAGUAACUAUGCACGUCUUGACGGUACCUAAUCAGAAAGCCACGGCUAACUACGUG
rnacentral:rRNA from 1 species